GGUUCAGUGGUGUAGUGGAUAUCACGUCCGCCUCACACGCGGAAGGUCCCCGGUUCGAGCCCGGGCUGAACCA
rnacentral:tRNA from 1 species